rnacentral:rRNA from 1 species
GGGUGAGUAACACGUGGAUAACCUACCUAUAAGACUGGGAUAACCUCGGGAAACCGGAGCUAAUACCGGAUAAUAUUUUGAACCGCAUGGUUCAAAAGUGAAAGACGGUCUUGCUGUCACUUAUAGAUGGAUCCGCGCUGCAUUAGCUAGUUGGUAAGGUAACGGCUUACCAAGGCAACGAUGCAUAGCCGACCUGAGAGGGUGAUCGGCCACACUGGAACUGAGACACGGUCCAG